rnacentral:rRNA from 1 species
UACAGAGGUCUCAAGCGUUGUUCGGAUUCAUUGGGCGUAAAGGGUGCGUAGGCGGCGGGACAAGUCGAGUGUGAAAUUUCGGAGCUCAACUCCGAAACUGCAUACGAUACUGUCUUGCUCGAGUGCUAUAGAGGAGACUGGAAUUUACGGUGUAGCAGUGAAAUGCGUAGAUAUCGUAAGGAACACCAGUGGCGAAAGCGAGUCUCUGGAUAGCAACUGACGCUGAAGCACGAAGGCCAGGGGAGCAAACGGG